UAAUAUUCCUAAAUUCCGUUCCUUUUGCAAAAUACUGUACAUCAACUGUUUUCAUUUUCUUAAGAUUUUCUUCUGUUUCAUGCAAAAGUUAUAUUUUCAAGGAUUCUGAUAAGUGAUGCUAAGAUGGCAGCAUUGUCACGAAUUUCAAAUCGUGACAUUAUUUUGAAUAAGAUAAGGAGAUCAUCGCAACACAAGAAUGGAAAUUUUUACAUUAUCCUCGAAUCAGACAACAAUGUAAAAACAAUACUGCAUAUCAAGACAAUGUACAACCAGUGCGGAUCUAACUUUCAAGAGUGGAAAUUUUUGCAUUAUCCUCAAAUCAGACAACAAUGCAAAAACGUACUGCAUAUCGAGACAAUGUACAACCAGGGCGGAUCUAACUUUCAAGAGUGGAAAUUUUUGCAUUAUCCUCAAAUUAGACAAUAAUGCCAAACGUACUGCAUAUUGAGACAAUGUACAACCCGGGCCCUGGGCUUGAGGUACUAUUUUACACUUUAUGUUCUAUCGCGUCUUUAACAAUUUCAUACUAUGCAUUGUGCCUCGAAUCCCCUAACAGUUGAUGGGCCUGGGCUCAAGCUCUAUUAACUUUUAUAUACAUCCUCUACUGUGUAACGAAAAUAAUACAUAGCAUAAACAUAUAGUGAGUUUUGGGAAACGAUAAAGAAAAUGAU
rnacentral:lncRNA from 1 species